rnacentral:rRNA from 1 species
GGACCGAACCCACCUUAGUUGAAAAUAAGGGGGAUGAGGUGUGGAUAGGAGUGAAAGGCUAAUCAAGCGGGGAGAUAGCUGGUUCUCGCCGAAAUAUAUUGAGGUAUAGCCUCGGGUGAAUUGCCUCGGAGGUAAAGCACUGGAUGGGCUAGGGGACCUACAAGUCUACCAAACCCAACCAAACUCUGAAUGCCGAGGACAACUGCCCGGGAGUCAGGCAGCGGGAGAUAAGUUCCGUUGCCGAGAGGGAAAGAGCCCAGAUCGUCAGCUAAGGUCCCAAAAUCUAGACUAAGUGUAGAAGGAUGUGGGAGCGCUUAGACAACCAGGAGGUUUGCUUAGAAGCAGCAAUCCUUUAAAGAAAGCGUAAUAGCUCACUGGUCAAGCGACCCUGCGCCGAAAAUGUAACGGGGCUAAGUCUAGUACCGAAGCUACGGGAUCUCGCAAGAGAUCGGUAGGCGAGCGUCCUGAAGGAGAUACACGGUAGACGGUGACGACUACUAACGGCCUUCAGGAGUGACUAUGCGGGCAUGAGUAGCGAUAAACCGGGUGAGAAACCCGGUCGCCGUAAGUCCAAGGUUUCCUGGGGAAGGAUAAUCCUCCCAUGGGUUAGUCGAUUCCUAAGUCGAGGCCGAGAGGCGUAGGCGAUGGAAAGUAGGUUAAUAUUCCUACACCACCAAGGACGGCGUUGAUGUAAGCGGGGACGGAGAAGGAUAGCUCAGCAGGCUGCAUGGUUUGCCUGUUCAAGCCCGUAGGCUGAAUUGCUAGGACCCAAUAGGGACAAACGGCGAUUCAUUAAGGCCGAGAGGUGAUGAGGUCUAGCCCUAGGCUAGGACACUGAGUAAUUCCACGCUUCCUAGAAAAGCCGCGUACGGAGCCCCUUUGGUGAUCGUACUGCAAACCGACUCAGGUGGACGGGGUGAAUAUCCCAAGGCGCGUGAGAGAACCCUGGUUAAGGAACUCUGCAAAUUGACACCGUAACUUCGGGAGAAGGUGUGCCGCUGGCGGUUAGUGACUUCGCGUCACGAAGCUGUCGGUGGUCGCAGUGAAAUGGCGGUUGUGACUGUUUACUAAAAACACAGGACUCUGCGAAGUCGUAAGACGACGUAUAGGGUCUGAUGCCUGCCCGGUGCUGGAAGGUUAAGGGGAUAUGUCAGCGCAAGCGAAGCAUUGAACCGAAGCCCCAGUAAACGGCGGCCGUAACAAUAACGGUCCUAAGGUAGCGAAAUUCCUUGUCGGGUAAGUUCCGACCUGCACGAGGGCAUAACAACAUCCGCACUGUCUCGACCAGGGACUCAGCGAAAUUACAUUGGGGGUGAAGAUGCCCUCUACCCGCGGAAAGACGGAAAGACCCCAUGAACCUUUACUGCAACUUGGCAGUGAUUUUCGGGUUGUUCUAA